GUGCUGGAUGUUAGAAAGAAUUCUUUUUCUAACAUAGAACUUGCUUAUCCCUUUGCUGUGGUUUAACCUUCAGGCAGCUGAACACCACAGAGCUAUCUGGUCACUCUGUCCCACAGAGAUGGGGGAGAGAACAGGAAAACAGAUUGUUUCUUCAUUUCAUCAAAAUCAGCAGCUCCUCCCUUGCUCUUGCAGUUCUCCCUACUUUGGCACUGUACUUUUUCAGAGCAAAAUGCAAGCUACCUGCCUGGGCAGACUGAACAGUAAUCACUGUUCGAAGAGGAAGAAAUCUGUUCAUCUCCCUGUUUUUCUGGCAGAAACAAUUUUUAGCUAUUGUGUUCUUUCCUGAUGAAUUGGCCACUUUAGUUUCAAACUCACAUCUUCCCAAUAAAAAGACUGGCAUCCAUUA